UACAGAGGGUGCGAGCGUUAAUCGGAAUUACUGGGCGUAAAGCGCACGUAGGUGGCUUUGCAAGUCGAUUGUGAAAUCCCCGGGCUUAACCUGGGAACUGCGCUUCUAACUGGCAGGCUUGAGUGUGGCAGAGGGGGGUGGAAUUCCACGUGUAGCAGUGAAAUGCGUAGAGAUGUGGAGGAACACCGAUGGCGAAGGCAGCCCCCUGGGCUAACACUGACGCUCAUGCACGAAAGCGUGGGGAGCAAACAGG
rnacentral:rRNA from 1 species